ensembl:lncRNA
AUGAGCAUCCCAACAGGUUUGCAGGGACUGAGGGUCAACGUUGACAGAGGAGAGAAGAUUGGAAACAAAACCCAGAUCCCGUUCCCCCAAUCAGGAGACGACAAUGCCAACCAAUUCUCUUCCAUCUGUGAUCAAGAGGGAAGAGGACUGAUAGAGGACACAAGCUACAGCACAAGCUCCGUCCCUCCUUUGGUCUCCCAGAGCGAAUCCCCCGACAAGUUAGUGAUCUGGGGCUCUGAGCAGCAAUGUUUGGAGCCUGAGCUCAGAGGGUUUGACCUCUUGGAGUGUCAGGAGAUACAUGCAUUCUUGGGGGACAGGGAUCAGGAGGAGGACGAUGACGAUGGCGGAAGUAUGAGGGAUGGUAAAGAUGAAGGUCCCAUGUCCAUAUCCUCGAGCUCCACCGCCAGCUCUGCUUCGAUCGGUGUCAGGGGCAAUGACAAUGACAACAACAAAGUGGAGAGCAGAAUACAGUGGGACCGAGGGGCGCAGAGAAGGAUGGCAUGUCACAGCAACGAAGAGCUGGACACAUGCGUCACAGGCUCACAAGAGAAAAGGGACACCAGGUCAGGCAGGGACAGGGAGAGACGGAAGGGAGGUCUGAAGGAGUCUAAGUCUGAUACAAAUGUCUUUGUCUCCAGUCUGUCGGCUGUUUCCUUCCGCGGGAGCCUGUCGAGUGCUCUGGAUAGUAGCGGAGAAGCGCGUGCGCUCGUCUCGCUGUCCGGCUCUAAGACCAACCUUUACUCCAAUACAAACAACGCUACCUCAGCUCAUACUAGAAACAUGGCUGCCCCUUCGGAUGCCAACUGCAACUCUCCGCCAUCGCAUCCUCAGGAGAAACAAGGCCGCCCUCAAUACCACUACGGCCAGGAUCAGAGACAGGAGGAGGGAAGCCAUCAUAGAAAUGGAUUGACCUCUGAUGGGCUGCUGGGCCAAAGGAGGAAGGCAGGAUUUGAGGAAAGGGUGAUGCCACCGCGACGGCAACAGCUCGUCAGACCCCUCUGUCAGACGGAAGCGGGAAGAGCAAGGAGCUUAGCAGAGACCCAUGCUCACCAAGCUGAGACAAGGCAACCGUCUCCCCCCAAACCCUCUCCAGAUUCACAAAGAGGCGGGUCUAACAGACAGUUUACGAAAUCGUCUUUACGGGAACCAUCAGAUUUCUCUAACCUGUACAGCACACCCGGAGGCCCGCAGCUCAGGCAGCCCAACCAGGCAACCCAGAGGGAGGCUCAACCUGCGGAAAAACACCCAGCCGCAACUGCAUGGCGUAAUUCAAGUCCUUCAAAUUCUGCCUCUUUCGAGAAGAGACCCCAGACUCAGCUCACAUAUAGAAGAAAUUGCUCUAGUCCCAACAGGACAGGGGUUGAUUCCAGGUCAUCUACCCCUCCCCACUCCCCUCUCAGGACUCCCCAGGGUUCACCACGCCGGCAGCCUUCCAUGUACCUUGUUUCCAGGAGUGUCCCUGGAGUGGUUAGACACGUCCCGUCAGGAUGCAACCCUGCUGUAACAUCAUCCGCUCAGGGCUAUGGCAAUAGUUGCAUGAGAACACCAGUGAAAACCAAUAUAAGCACAAGUGGAAUCCCCAAAACGCCUCUUAACAACCAGCAGAGCUACAACCCCAACUCCAGCCCCAAGGAGAGCUCCCCAUCACCUAAACUCAAACCUAAAGGAGUUCGGCCUAAAAUCAUUACCUACGUUCGAAAGAACCCUCAGUUUAAGCCCCAGGCUGCCGACGGACCGUAUCAGGUAUCCUCUCUACCCUCCAGGCUGUCAACAUACGCGCACGGUCAAAUAUCUACUUCUUUCAAAGACAACGGUAAAGAUCCAUCCAAGCCCGAAGCGGAAAGCAGAGGAUCCCCAGUGCUCAGUGCCUCUAAUCUGCUUUAUGACAAGUACCGCCAGGUCACACAGACAAACCUUUUUCCACCAGGAAUGCUGGGCAGAAAUAUGAAGCCCGCCGGAAAUACACACACAGUCCCCCCCUGCACACACACACAGCCACACAGCACCCUCAAAACUGGGCAGCAAAACAGACACCUUCUAUGGGGCUCCAUCGGAGGUGGGAAGAUCUGCCAGUUUUAA